AGAGUUUGAUCCUGGCUCAGGACGAACGCUGGCGGCGCGCCUAACACAUGCAAGUCGAACGAGCGAUGGAGAGCUUGCUUUCCAGAGCGAGUGGCGAACGGGUGAGUAACGCGUGAGGAACCUGCCUCAAAGAGGGGGACAACAGUUGGAAACGACUGCUAAUACCGCAUAAGCCCACGGGUCGGCAUCGACCAGAGGGAAAAGGAGCAAUCCGCUUUGAGAUGGCCUCGCGUCCGAUUAGCUAGUUGGUGAGGUAACGGCCCACCAAGGCGACGAUCGGUAGCCGGACUGAGAGGUUGAACGGCCACAUUGGGACUGAGACACGGCCCAGACUCCUACGGGAGGCAGCAGUGGGGAAUAUUGCACAAUGGGGGAAACCCUGAUGCAGCGACGCCGCGUGGAGGAAGAAGGUCUUCGGAUUGUAAACUCCUGUUGUUGGGGAAGAUAAUGACGGUACCCAACAAGGAAGUGACGGCUAACUACGUGCCAGCAGCCGCGGUAAAACGUAGGUCACAAGCGUUGUCCGGAAUUACUGGGUGUAAAGGGAGCGCAGGCGGGAAGACAAGUUGGAAGUGAAAUCCAUGGGCUCAACCCAUGAACUGCUUUCAAAACUGUUUUUCUUGAGUAGUGCAGAGGUAGGCGGAAUUCCCGGUGUAGCGGUGGAAUGCGUAGAUAUCGGGAGGAACACCAGUGGCGAAGGCGGCCUACUGGGCACCAACUGACGCUGAGGCUCGAAAGUGUGGGUAGCAAACAGGAUUAGAUACCCUGGUAGUCCACACCGUAAACGAUGAUUACUAGGUGUUUGGAGGAUUGACCCCUUCAGUGCCGCAGUUACACAAUAAGUAAUCCACCUGGGGAGACGACCGCAAGGUUGAACUCAAAGGAGUUGACGGGGGCCCGACAAGCAGUGGAGUAUGUGGUUAAUUCGACGCACGCGAAGACCUUACCAGUCUUGAAUCCUGUGACAACGUAAAAAUACGUUUUUCUUCGGGACCGGAGACAGGUGGGGCAGGGUUGCGCCACCUCCGGCCGGGAAAGUUGGGUUAAUCCCCCACAAGGCACCCUUUUGGUGUUAUUAUCCAAAGGACUUGGCCAAUGCCUUGAAAAACGGAGGAAGGUGGGGAUGACGUCAAAUCAUCAUGCCCUUUAUGACUUGGGCUACACACGUACUACAAUGGCGUUAAACAAAGAGAAGCAAGACCGCGAGGUGGAGCAAAACUCAGAAACAACGUCCCAGUUCGGACUGCAGGCUGCAACUCGCCUGCACGAAGUCGGAAUUGCUAGUAAUCGUGGAUCAGCAUGCCACGGUGAAUACGUUCCCGGGCCUUGCACACACCGCCCGUC
rnacentral:rRNA from 1 species